rnacentral:rRNA from 1 species
AACGAACGCUGGCGGCAUGCCUAACACAUGCAAGUCGAACGAGACCGUCGUGUCUAUUGGCGCACGGGUGCGUAACGCGGGGGAACCUGCCCUUAGGUUCGGAAUAACUCCCCGAAAGGUGUGCUAAUACCGGAGAAUGUCUUCGGACCAAAGAUUUAUCGCCUUUGGAUGGGCCCGCGUUGGAUUAGCUAGUUGGUAGGGUAAAAGCCUACCAAGGCGACGAUCCAUAGCUGGUCUGAGAGGAUGAUCAGCCACACUGGGACUGAGACACGGCCCAGACUCCUACGGGAGGCAGCAGUGGGGAGUAUUGGACAAUGGGCGAAAGCCUGAUCCAGCAAUGCCGCGUGAGUGAUGAAGGCCUUAGGAUUGUAAAGCUCUUUUACCCGGGAUGAUAGUGACGGUACCGGGAGAAUAAGCUCCGGCUAACUCCGUG